GGGUUUAUAAUUCAAUGGCAGAAUAGCGGUCUUUUAAACCGUCCACCAGGGUUCGAUUCCCUGUGAACCUACCA
rnacentral:tRNA from 1 species